rnacentral:rRNA from 1 species
GGUAGUCCAUGCCGUAAACGUUGGGCACUAGGUGUGGGGGACAUUCCACGUUCUCCGCGCCGUAGCUAACGCAUUAAGUGCCCCGCCUGGGGAGUACGGCCGCAAGGCUAAAACUCAAAGGAAUUGACGGGGGCCCGCACAAGCGGCGGAGCAUGCGGAUUAAUUCGAUGCAACGCGAAGAACCUUACCAAGGCUUGACAUUCACCGGACUGCCCCAGAGAUGGGGUUUCCCUUCGGGGUCGGUGGACAGGUGGUGCAUGGUUGUCGUCAGCUCGUGUCGUGAGAUGUUGGGUUAAGUCCCGCAACGAGCGCAACCCUCGUUCUAUGUUGCCAGCACGUGAUGGUGGGGACUCAUAGGAGACUGCCGGGGUCAACUCGGAGGAAGGUGGGGAUGACGUCAAAUCAUCAUGCCCCUUAUGUCUUGGGCUUCACGCAUGCUACAAUGGCCGGUACAAAGGGUUGCGAUACUGUGAGGUGGAGCUAAUCCCAAAAAGCCGGUCUGUUCGGAUUGAGGUCUGCAACUCGACCUCAUGAAGUCGGAGUCGCUAGUAAUCGCAGAUCAGCAACGCUGCGGUGAAUACGUUCCCGGGCCUUGUACACACCGCCCGUCAAGUCACGAAAGUUGGUAACACCCGAAGCCGGUGGCCUAACCCCUUGUGGGAGGGAGCCGUCGAAGGUGGGACUGGCGAUUGGGACUAAGUCGUAACAAGGUAGCGUAAGCUUGGAUCCCGGG